UACGUAGGUGGCAAGCGUUAUCCGGAAUUACUGGGCGUAAAGCGCACGCAGGCGGUCUUUUAAGUUUGACGUGAAAGCUCCCGGCUUAACUGGGAGAGGUCGUUGAAUACUGGAAGACUUGAGGCAAUGAGAGGGGUGUAGAAUUCCCGGUGUAGUGGUGAAAUGCGUAGAGAUCCGGAGGAACACCAGAGGCGCAGGCGGCUUGCUGGGUCUGUAUUGACGCUCAGACACGAAAGCAUGGGGAGCGAACGGG
rnacentral:rRNA from 1 species